GAUUUAUCUGGGGUAACCAAGAAGCUUUGGGCCCACCUGCUUCAUUGUGGCAAUGGAGAUACCUUGAUGUUUCAUUAUCCAACUAAGGAACAUCAUCAAUGCAAAAGGAACUCUAAUCUAAUUGGCUCUGCUGGUUACAACCGUCCAAGAGAAGUUCCUACUCUUUUCAAGAACGAAAGUACCUGGAAGUUUAUUCUGUAGCUCAGAGCCUUGCUCUGUCAUUCAUGUUGAUCUGGACGUCGAGGAGCUGCUUUCAUCCUUAGAUGCUUGUGUUUCUAGUUGCAAUGGCUGGAAUCCCAUGUUUCUUGCCUCAGCCAGAGGAACCAGCUCCCUCCCACAUCUUGGGAGACAAAAUCAGCAUCCAAGUGCAGUUGAGUUAAAUUAAAGCCCUCUGUGAAGUU